rnacentral:rRNA from 1 species
CCUACGGGAGGCAGCAGUGGGGGAAUCUUGCGCAAUGGGGGAAAACCCUGACGCAGCAACGCCGCGUGGGUGAUGAAGGCCUUCGGGUCGUAAAGCCCUGUCAGGUGGGAAGAAACUUGUGGAUGUUAAUACCAUCCGCACUUGACGGUACCACCGGAGGAAGCACCGGCUAACUCCGUGCCAGCAGCCGCGGUAAUACGGAGGGUGCAAGCGUUGUUCGGAAUCACUGGGCGUAAAGCGUGCGCAGGCGGUUUCGUAAGACAGAUGUGAAAUCCCCGGGCUUAACCUGGGAACUGCAUUUGUGACUGCGAGGCUAGAGUACGGCAGAGGGGGGUAGAAUUCCACGUGUAGCAGUGAAAUGCGUAGAUAUGUGGAGGAAUACCGAUGGCGAAGGCAGCCCCCUGGGUCGAUACUGACGCUCAUGCACGAAAGCGUGGGGAGCAAACAGGAUUAGAUACCCUGGUAGUCCACGCUGUAAACGAUGAGCACUAGGUGUCGCGGGGUAUUGACCCCUGCGGUGCCGCCGCUAACGCAUUAAGUGCUCCGCCUGGGGACUACGGCCCGCAAGGUUAAAACUCAAAGGGAAUUUGACGG